CGGACGUGAGGAAACUUCCGCGGGCGGAGGGGUCGCCAUGGCGGCAAAAAGUCCUCCUGAUAGUACUCCAAGAAGGCCUGUUUUAUCUGUCAGUGCAAGAAAAAUUAAAGAUAAUGCAGCAGACUGGCAUAAUUUAAUGAUGAAAUGGGAGAGACUGAAUGAUAAUGGAUUUACUACAGCAAACAAAAUAGUCAACAUGAGGAUCAGUGAGCAAUUUCAGGACAACAAACUGGAGAUAGCAUGUGAUAACAGUGCCACAGAACCUGAAAAGCCAACCCCAAAAUACAAUGAAGAGCUGGACAAUUGCUGUGCAGAAUUACUUGAGACCUUAAAGCAAAUGACAAAAAUACAGAUGAAAAUGGAAAAGCUUACUUCAACUACUAAAGCAAUCUGUGACUUGGAAACAUUCCACCAUGGAGCUGGGAAUUGCAAGGCUCCCUUCUUUCAUACAUGGCCCACAUCAUACUUCUAUGAGGUUUGUCUGAAGCUGUCUGAAAUGUACAAGAAGGAGCUACAACUCAAACAAACAAUUGUACAAGACAUUGCUCAUUCUGCUGACCAGGAUCUGAUGAUGGUGUAUUUAUCCUCGUGGCUGUACCAGCCUUACAUUGACAACAGCAGCACGCUGCUGCUCGAAGCCAUGCUGCUGGAAACAGGACACAGGCAGUGCUAGAAUUCCAGAGCUUACAUGGCUGCCUUCUAGGGGUGCUAAUAUGAAACUGAACUGGCAUGUUGCAAGGCUUACCAACUGAUGAUAUUUUGGACUGUGGCCAUUUUCUGCACUCGUCGUUAGGCCAGUGCUCUGCCUGGCCCCUGCCUGCUCCAUCAGGGAGCUGUGGAGCUCAGGAGCUGCCGGUGCCCCCGCUGUGCUCCCGCUCACAAAGCGCGCCUGGACCGGCCCGGCCGAGCCUCCUUCUGCCACAGGCAGCACCACUCCGGGGUGCAGCAGGGACCCUUCACCUGCCAGGCCUGCUCCCUGCAUCCCUGCAGGCUGGGGAUACUCCAUCCUCAUUUCCACAGUCUGGGAGAAGGUACCUGAAUUUGCACCAUCGAUUCCAACUCCUGAAUCAGCAAGCUUGGUGUACUUGCUGAACUGGCUGCAGCCACGGUAGGUUUUGGAGACCUUGAAGCUGAUGCUGUGGCACAAGAAGCCCUCUGUCCAUUCACCAUCUUGGAUGGGGGAAUCUUGUCCCCAGACCCUGCCCCGUGAGAUGGGAAAGGCCUCUGCAUAAGCAGCUGAACCGGAGACUCAGAAGAACUAUGCAGGAGUAGCUGCUGCUGCUCAGUUCCUGAAACAGGCUGUAUCCUAAUUAUCUGGGGAUUAAUAAUGCCAACUCCUGGUAUGCUGGAUUUCCUACCAACUGGCUGACUCAGCGUUAUAGUUUUGGACUGGAUUGGUGCCAAUGAUGUCAUUGGCCCUUCAGUUUCCUUCAUCUGUCCUGGCUGAACUUGGACACAAAUGGCUUCCAGCUGCUUUUGUGGAAAAAAAGGAAGAGUUGCAAUUACACAAAUGUAUUUAUUUAUUAAUAAAUAAAUACAGUAUUUAUUGAGAUAA